rnacentral:lncRNA from 10 species
AAGAAAGACAAUAAUUAUUAAAAUGAAAUGUUCACUGAUUUGACACAUACAGCAGAAAAUGAUCUAAUGUUCAUAGAGUUUGGAACAAACACACAAAAAACAUGGUAAAUGCAGCUUAUGGGGCACAGAAAUCAGGCUGAACUGAAUCCCACAACCUGAACAAAAAAGUGAGCACAGGCCUGCUGAUAACAAGAGUUCCAGCAGAAGCUGUGGAAGACUGAAAAAUGGCCCCAAAGAUACACAGGAUCCGUGAAUGGGAUCUAAUUCGGAAGUACAGUCUCUGCAGAUGAUCAAGUUAAGAUGAAGUUUUAGCGUCAAACCCAAUCCAAUAUUACUGCUGUCCUUAUAAAAAGAAAAAAAAAUGGACAUAGAGACAAACGUGUAGAACGGUACAUGAGAGAGACAGAAGAAGGAGGAGGAAGAAAAAGAGAAGGAAGAGGAGGAGGAAGAGGAGCAGUGAUGAGGU